rnacentral:tRNA from 1 species
UAGCGUAGUGGUUAGUGCACAGCCCCCGAUAGGUUGAGACGCGGGUUCGAAUCCCGC